rnacentral:rRNA from 1 species
UACGUAGGGUGCGAGCGUUGUCCGGAAUUACUGGGCGUAAAGAGCUCGUAGGUGGUUUGUCGCGUUGUUCGUGAAAACUCACAGCUUAACUGUGGGCGUGCGGGCGAUACGGGCAGACUGGAGUACUGCAGGGGAGACUGGAAUUCCUGGUGUAGCGGUGGAAUGCGCAGAUAUCAGGAGGAACACCGGUGGCGAAGGCGGGUCUCUGGGCAGUAACUGACGCUGAGGCGCGAAAGCCAGGGGAGCAAACGGG